rnacentral:rRNA from 1 species
AAUUUUAAUACCUGUGAAGAUGCAGGUUACCCGCGACAAGACGGAAAGACCCCAUGGAGCUUUACUGCAGCUUGAUAUUGGACUUUGGUACGAUCUGUACAGGAUAGGUGGGAGCCUGGGAAGCCUGCGCGCCAGCGUGGGUGGAGGCGCCGUUGGGAUACCACCCUGAUCGUAUCGGAGUUCUAACCUGGUACCGUGAACCGGUACGGGGACAGUGUCAGGUGGGCAGUUUGACUGGGGCGGUCGCCUCCUAAAGAGUAACGGAGGCGCCCCAAGGUUCCCUCAGAAUGGUUGGAAAUCAUUCGAAGAGUGCAAAGGCAUAAGGGAGCUUGACUGCGAGACAAACAGGUCGAGCAGGGACGAAAGUCGGGCUUAGUGAUCCGGUGGUACCGCAUGGAAGGGCCAUCGCUCAACGGAUAAAAGCUACCCUGGGGAUAACAGGCUUAUCUCCCCCAAGAGUCCACAUCGACGGGGAGGUUUGGCACCUCGAUGUCGGCUCAUCGCAUCCUGGGGCUGAAGUAGGUCCCAAGGGUUGGGCUGUUCGCCCAUUAAAGCGGUACGCGAG